rnacentral:tRNA from 3 species
GUUCCCUUCGUCUAGUUGGCCUAGGACACCACCCUUUCACGGUGAAAACACGGGUUCGAAUCCCGUAGGGAACGCCA